UGAGAACCACGCCAGCGGAAAUCGUGGUUUGACUGAAGAUCCACGGAAAAUUUGCCCAGUGUAAUAGCCCCUUUAGGUUGAUGGAAGUCAGUUUGAGUAGUUUAUUGCAGAGGUCAGGUUAGUCUCUAUUGUAAGGUCCUUAGAAGUUUUGUUGAGGUCACCUUUUGCUGGUAGUAUAGUCACAAGGAACAGUUUGUCGCAGAGGUCAGGUUAGGAUCUGUUGUAAAGCUUAUUAAAGAGGUCAUGUUAAGAUCUAUUCAGGUUUUCUGAAUGGGUCAUCUCAGGUCAUUAGAAGUGAUUUGCAGAGGUCAUUUUAGGCUGUAAUGAAGGUCUGUUGAAGUUUUUUGUAAAAGUCAUCUCAGGCCAUCUGAAGUCCAUUGCAAAGGUCAUUUUGUGUUGUAAAGAAGGUCUGUUGUUGUAGAAGUCUUACUGGAGUCAUGAUCAGCUGGUGUGGUGUGUUUUGUGAAUAAGUUUGGCACAUGUUUGUUACUUUGUGGAUGUUCUCUUCCAGUUGUUUUAUAUAGUUGAGUAAAAAAAAAAAAAAUAUCAGGGCUGGUACACAUAUUUUGAGAUUUUCUUUUCACGUGAUUGUGUGUUAUCAUACUGACUUCAUUUUUUUUUUUUUUUUUUUUUUUUUUCCCUCAUUUGAUUAUUGAUUGAAGAGUGAAAGGGUUGGUGCAAACUCCCCUUCCAAGGCUGAUAUCCAUGACUGAGAAAUAUAUUUGUUCUGGAAGAGUAGCAACAGUAGCACACACCCCACAGCCCCCCCCCCC